AUCUGAAGAAAGAUAAAAUAAAAAAAGAGGACAAGAGGGGGACAUAAGAGAUAGAAUAUGUAGAAAAAGUAGCUAAAUACUGGUAAAGGUAAUUGAAUUGUUAAGAUGCAGACGGGAACACCAGCAGCAUUAGUAUAACAUACAGUAUGUCAUGUCCCUUUCUUAGGGCUAAUGCAUUUGUUUUUUUUUAACCUCAAGAAAGCAGUGCCAGAGUGCCAUGAUUACCUGAAAUGGCUCUGUUACACCCACAAUGGUGCUCAUGUUGUUGCUAUAGUAACCCAAGAUAAAGUCCCCUGAGCCUUUGGGCAAUUCCUCCUCGGUAAAGAUUACCUGCUGUUCUUGUCGAUUAAAAUCCCCUUCCUCUUGCUUGGCCCAUACGUAUCCCACAUAGUCCUUAUGGUGCUUGAAACCCACCUGGGGAUGGGCAGAACAAUCACUAACAGUAACAACAUGAUUAAAAUGAGUAAUGCACAGAAAUGGGUGUUGUACUACUCCUGAUGAUUUGCUGACGUUGAUUCGUCAGCCAUAAUGUUAUUUGGCCGGUAGAGGUAAGACUAGUUACCUUGUACAGUCCGAUCCAGUCCCAGGAGCUGCGGGGGUAGCUGGGCACCAGUUUGAAUUUUGCUGUGGCAUCAGCAAUACUAUUCCA